CCGUCGCUCAACAGAUCGCUAUUCGAAGCUCACAAACAAAGAGACUAGGUAAAACUGGUCUCUUACCCGUGUACUACGCUUUGGGAGAAAGUCCCCGGACGUCUCUGGUUUUCCUUUUGGAGGGCUAGGGCCUGCGGAAACGCGCCGCCAUAGAAGCACUGCGGCUUACCUUGGUUCCUUGGCUCUUUGGUUUGCGUCAUGCCCCGCCUGCCGCUACAUCUGUAUGCUGCAGAGUCGCUUGUUACAUCUUGAUGUCCUACUGUUCGUCUCGUCGCUUGGCCCAUUACAGGAUGAAGAUACGAGUCCGAGCUGAGUACGGGGUGAGCUGGAGGCUCUUUAUGUGCGGUGAUUUGGACAAUGGAUGGUAGAUGGACGCUGUGGCCAUUCCAGAUUGUUGCGGGAAUCGAGGGAUUGUUGUCGAGGUUGAUAGAUAUGCGAUUGCUUGGUGUUCUUUGGAUACCAGGUUACUCGAUGGGGCUCAUUCUUGAUGCGAGG
rnacentral:RNase_MRP_RNA from 2 species